UACGAAGGGGGCUAGCGUUGUUCGGAAUCACUGGGCGUAAAGCGCACGUAGGCGGCUUUCUAAGUCAGGGGUGAAAUCCUGGAGCUCAACUCCAGAACUGCCCUUGAUACUGGAAGCUUGAGUUCGGGAGAGGUGAGUGGAACUGCGAGUGUAGAGGUGAAAUUCGUAGAUAUUCGCAAGAACACCAGUGGCGAAGGCGGCUCACUGGCCCGAUACUGACGCUGAGGUGCGAAAGCGUGGGGAGCAAACAGG
rnacentral:rRNA from 1 species